rnacentral:rRNA from 1 species
GACGAACGCUGGCGGCGUGCCUAAUACAUGCAAGUCGAACGCUGAAGGAGGAGCUUGCUUCUCUGGAUGAGUUGCGAACGGGUGAGUAACGCGUAGGUAACCUGCCUGGUAGCGGGGGAUAACUAUUGGAAACGAUAGCUAAUACCGCAUAAUAGUAGAUGUUGCAUGACAUUUGCUUAAAAGGUGCAAUUGCAUCACUACCAGAUGGACCUGCGUUGUAUUAGCUAGUUGGUGGGGUAACGGCUCACCAAGGCGACGAUACAUAGCCGACCUGAGAGGGUGAUCGGCCACACUGGGACUGAGACACGGCCCAGACUCCUACGGGAGGCAGCAGUAGGGAAUCUUCGGCAAUGGACGGAAGUCUGACCGAGCAACGCCGCGUGAGUGAAGAAGGUUUUCGGAUCGUAAAGCUCUGUUGUAAGAGAAGAACGAGUGUGAGAGUGGAAAGUUCACACUGUGACGGUAGCUUACCAGAAAGGGACGGCUAACUACGUG